UUUAAGCUGAAUUAUAUAUGGUAUGACCAUUUGAGAUAUAUCACUUGACUGAGGUGCUCUAAAUAAAUUGUACCUUAACAUAUAUUGGUAAGGAUACAUACAUAUUAUGUCAACAUAAACCAAUAUAUGUCAAUGAGAUACCACCCGAUACUAUGUCAAUAUAUCAGCUGACAUUCUAAUCAUUCUAAUCUUUCUUCUAGUAUCUUAGAAUGGGUUUAUUAAUGAUUAGAUACUAAAAUCAAUGAUAGCAGUGGUUAAACUUGAACUUACAACAUCAAAAAUUAUUUUAGUAUCUCAAUCAUUAUAUAUCAACCAAGAUCUCAAUUUUUUUUGGUUAUUUAAGAUUUCGUUAGCCUUUUAUUUUAGCCAAGGUAAACUAGUAAAUUGGUUCAUCUAGGUACAGCUCACUUAACAAGUAAAACCUUGUUUCUUGGCACAAGGAACCCACAUGAAUUUGAG
rnacentral:lncRNA from 1 species